UAGAUUGAAGUCAGUUGAUUAGGAUGUUUAGCUGUUAACUAAAUUUUCGUAGGUUUGAAUUCCACCAAUCUGG
rfam:Pan troglodytes isolate Yerkes chimp pedigree #C0471 (Clint) chromosome 2B, whole genome shotgun sequence.